AGCCCCCUCGUUCAAUGGUAGGACAUCUGCCUCUGGAGCAGAGUAUCGGGGUUCGAAUCCCUGGGGGGCUGCCA
rnacentral:tRNA from 1 species